rnacentral:rRNA from 1 species
GCAGUUGAGGGAAUAUUGGUCAAUAGCCUAACGGCUGAACCAGCAACUUGGAGGAAUGUAUAGCAAUAGCUAAUUGCACCAGAUAAUAACUGAUGCAAUAUCGACUCUGUUGAAUAAAAUUCUAGGUAGAAUUAUGAUAAUGACAUUAUCUGCCUACAUGUCUUGACCAAAUUACGUGCCAGCAGUCGCGGUAAUACGUAGAAGACUAGUGUUAUUCAUCUUUAAUAGGUUUAAAGGGUACCUAGACGGUAAAUCAAGCCUGCGAGGGGACUAGUUUACUAGAGUUACUUGUGAGGGGGUAUUAAAGUACUAAUGGUGUAGAGAUGAAAUUCUGUCAUACCUCUUUUCGGAAGAAAAACUAUGGCACU